rnacentral:rRNA from 1 species
CAUGCGUCUGAUUAGUUAGUUGGUGAGGUAACGGCUCACCAAGACGACGAUCAGUAGGGGGUCUGAGAGGAUGAUCCCCCACACUGGCACUGAGAUACGGGCCAGACUCCUACGGGAGGCAGCAGUAGGGAAUAUUGGUCAAUGGGCGAGAGCCUGAACCAGCCAUGCCGCGUGCAGGAUGACGGCCUUCUGGGUUGUAAACUGCUUUUAUAUGGGAAGAAAAAGGCCAUGCGUGGCAAAUUGCCGGUACCAUAUGAAUAAGCACC